GUAGGGGGCAAGCGUUGUCCGGAUUUACUGGGCGUAAAGAGCGCGUAGGCGGACGUUUAAGUGUGGCCUGAAAGCCCCCGGCUCAACCGGGGAUCCGGGUUGCAAACUGGACGUCUUGAGGGGGAUAGGGGAAGGUGGAAUUCCUGGUGUAGCGGUGAAAUGCGUAGAGAUCAGGAGGAACACCCGUGGCGAAGGCGGCCUUCUGGGUCCGCCCUGACGCUGAGGCGCGAAAGCGUGGGGAGCGAACGGAAUUAGAUACCCCGGUAGUCCACGCCGUAAACGAUGAUUACUAGGUGUGUGUGGUAUCGACCCCACACGUGCCGCAGCUAACGCAAUAAGUAAUCCGCCUGGGGAGUACGGCCGCAAGGUUG
rnacentral:rRNA from 1 species